rnacentral:rRNA from 1 species
GGAGAAAAGCAGGGGAUCGUAAGACCUCGCGCUAUUGGAGUGGCCGAUGUCCGAUUAGCUAGUUGGUGGGGUAAUGGCCCACCAAGGCGACGAUCGGUAGCUGGUCUGAGAGGAUGAUCAGCCACACUGGGACUGAGACACGGCCCAGACUCCUACGGGAGGCAGCAGUGGGGUAUUUUGGACAAUGGGCGCAAGCCUGAUCCAGCCAUGCCGCGUGAGUGAAGAAGGCCUUCGGGUUGUAAAGCUCUUUCGGCCGGAACGAAAUCGUCCGGGCUAAUACCCCGGAUGGAUGACGGUACCGGAAGAAGAAGCACCGGCUAACUACGUGCCAGCAGCCGCGGUAAUACGUAGGGUGCAGGCGUUAAUCGGAAUUACUGGGCGUAAAGCGUGCGCAGGCGGCUUCCUAAGUCAGAUGUGAAAUCCCCGGGCUUAACCUGGGAACUGCGUUUGAAACUACAAGGCUAG